UAGGUUAGGGCACUGGAAGGCGCUGGCAAAAAGCAUGACUCUGUGGUCAACAAAACAUUGUUUUGGACUGUUGUCCUGCUGGAGUCUGCAGUUAUGACCCAGUUUUAGCUUUAAGGUGGUUCAAGGCUGAUAUCCAGAGGUCUCACCAGCAACGUCGUUGGUCCCAGCCGGCAACCCUGACCGUUGGCUGGCGCCGAGCAGCUCUCCAGAUGUGCGCCAGUCCCAGCCGGCUCUCCAGAUUUGUGGCCGCUACUGCUGCAGACCUCCACUCCUGACCAGGGAUGGUCGUAAAAAACACGUGUGUGCAGUACCUACCACUUCUUUUUACCCGCACGAGGCGGGUUCAUAUGGAGAUCUGUAUCGCGCACGAAGAGUUACACACCGAUCUUUAUUAUCCUCCUUCUCUGUGCAGUGCCAUCAAUCAGCCAGUAGAGGUCGUAAUUGCAGCAGUUAUGAGGGAUCCAUGCAGCCCUCCCUUCUUCAGAGUAACAAAUCACCGCCUGUGCAGGCGCCUAGUCGGCCGAUAGCAAGCUCAAGAUAAUGCAAGCUCAUAUAAUUACUAGCAGAGCAUGAAAACACCGGCGCGUUGAUCACAAUCCAAACAUCCAAACGUGCUCGGUGUGUGUGAAGGUCCUGUGCUGUUUUCUUUCUUUAAACCAGACGAGAGCGGCAUGAAAGAGACAGAAGGGCUCAUUUGCAUAUCACAGAAAGGAAUCUGUGUAUCAAGCCUCAAGUACCGAAUUAAAUAUGUGUGUGUGACCAUGGUGUGUGUGUAGUGUUUAGUGUAGGAGUUUUGGACCGAGUGUUCAAGUGCAAACAACAAUUAGUGAAUAAAAAACACAGGAGAAACUAA